AUCUGAGAUGAAUUGGCCACACUCCACGGGAAGCUGAAUAGGAAUGACAAGAAAAGGUCUCUGGGGGGUAGAGGGGCUGCACAAGAGUAAUGGCCCGGCUGUGGACAACAAACAUAUCCAUCCAUAUGACCCCUGAGACGGAGGCCUGAUGAUAAUUCCCAAAACACACUGCACUCGCACACACACAUGCACAUGCAUAGAGAGAGAGCACAGUGUGAGAGAGAGACACUCCCACACGCCCUUACCAGCACUGUGUUAUUUUAAACCAGCACAUUCCCUUAAAAUAAAAAGAAGAAAUAAAGAGGUGAAGUCUAUUUCAAAAGCAAACUCCCACACCUGGAGGACCUGUCAAGCACUGUCUGCUAUUGAGCUCCAGCACUAUAUCAAGCUAAUGGGGGGAAAAGUGGGUCAACAAGAAUUAUUCAUGAGGUUCCUCCAUUUAAAAGCAGACACUUUGUGUAUGUCUCAGAGAAAAAUAGAAAAAGUCUCAGACAACAUGGUUGAUGAGACACAUAUCUGAAUUAUAAAUCACACAAGUCAUUAGUUCAACCUGCUACUACAACUGAUGCUACCCGUAAUCGAUAAGCUAACAGCAUUCAGUUAGACAGAAGACGAGGCUAAACUACAAAAUGAUAACUAUUCGAUAUUCAUGGCAUGUUUAUUCAGCUUUAGUAUUUGCACAUCCUUUUUCAUGAAAAGAUUUUUAUGCAACAGAAUGGGGGCGGACUUAAUACUGGCUAUUCAAUAACCAAAAUUCACUUGCUUCAGUUACGACACACAGGAAGGAAAUUCUUUAAUAUGCAAUAUGGCCAAAAGACAGUUAUGAGAUUAAAUGGAGAGCACUGGAGACUUAAGUUAAGACUUAAGGAGGCUUAAGUUCUGUUUCUCCAAUUAUUCUCUGAGAAAAGACUACAAUAAUUUCAGAAGGGACCUGAGCAAUGUCUUAAAGGAAUAGUUUAUCCAAAAAUGAAAAUUACCCCAUGAUUUACACACUCUCAAGUCAUCCUAGGUGUAUAUGAUUUUAUUCUUUCAGACGAAUAUUAUCAGAGUUAUAUUAAAAAAUGUCAUGACUCUUAGAAGCUUUAUAAUGGCAAUGAAUGGGGGUUGAGAUUUUGUAGCACAAAAAAAUGGCAUCCAUCCAUCAUAAAAAGUGCUCCACACAGCACCAGCGGGUUAAUAAAGGACUUCUGAAGUGAAUCGAUGCAUUUGUGUAAGAAAAAUAUCCAUAUUGAAAACUUUAGAAA
ensembl:lncRNA